rnacentral:rRNA from 1 species
AUUGAACGCUCGCGGGAUGCUUUACACAUGCAAGUCGAACGGCAGCGCGGACUUCGGUCUGGCGGCGAGUGGCGAACGGGUGAGUAAUGUAUCGGAACGUGCCCAGUAGCGGGGGAUAACUACGCGAAAGCGUAGCUAAUACCGCAUACGCCCUACGGGGGAAAGCAGGGGAUCGUAAGACCUUGCACUAUUGGAGCGGCCGAUAUCGGAUUAGCUAGUUGGUGAGGUAACGGCUCACCAAGGCGACGAUCCGUAGCUGGUUUGAGAGGACGACCAGCCACACUGGGACUGAGACACGGCCCAGACUCCUACGGGAGGCAGCAGUGGGGAAUUUUGGACAAUGGGGGCAACCCUGAUCCAGCCAUCCCGCGUGUGCGAUGAAGGCCUUCGGGUUGUAAAGCACUUUUGGCAGGAAAGAAACGUCGCGGGCUAAUACCCCGUGGAACUGACGGUACCUGAAGAAUAAGCACCGGCUAACUACGUG